rnacentral:rRNA from 1 species
UAGGGAAUCUUCCGCAAUGGGCGAAAGCCUGACGGAGCGACGCCGCGUGAGUGAGGAAGGUCUUCGGAUCGUAAAGCUCUGUUGCCAGGGAAGAAGACUUGGGAGAGUAACUGCUCUCAAGGUGACGGUACCUGAGAAGAAAGCCCCGGCUAACUACGUGCCAGCAGCCGCGGUAAUACGUAGGGGGCGAGCGUUGUCCGGAAUUAUUGGGCGUAAAGCGCGCGCAGGCGGUCUUGUAAGUCCCGUUGUGUAAGACCGGGGCUCAACCCCGGGUUGCAAGGGAAACUGCAGGACUUGAGUGCGGGAGAGGGAAGCGGAAUUCCAUGUGUAGCGGUGAAAUGCGUAGAGAUAUGGAGGAACACCAGUGGCGAAGGCGGCUUCCUGGUCCGUAACUGACGCUGAGGCGCGAAAGCGUGGGGAGCAAACA